rnacentral:rRNA from 1 species
UACGUAGGGAGCAAGCGUUGUCCGGAAUCAUUGGGCGUAAAGAGCUCGUAGGCGGCUCGGUAAGUCAGGUGUGAAACCUCCAGGCUCAACCUGGAGACGCCACCUGAUACUGCCGUGGCUAGAGUCCGGUAGAGGAGCGUAGAAUUCCUGGUGUAGCGGUGAAAUGCGCAGAUAUCAGGAGGAAUACCAGCGGCGAAGGCGGCGCUCUGGGCCGGUACUGACGCUGAGGAGCGAAAGCGUGGGGAGCAAACAGG